UGAGUAACCUGCCCUUAACUCUGGGAUAAGCCUGGGAAACUGGGUCUAAUACCGGACAUGACUCCUCAUCGCAUGGUGGGGGGUGGAAAGCUUUAUUGUGGUUUUGGAUGGACUCGCGGCCUAUCAGCUUGUUGGUGGGGUAGUGGCCUACCAAGGCGACGACGGGUAGCCGGCCUGAGAGGGUGACCGGCCACACUGGGACUGAGACACGGCCCAGACUCCUACGGGAGGCAG
rnacentral:rRNA from 1 species